rnacentral:misc_RNA from 1 species
GUGACACUUGCCUAGUUGUUGCUAUUAUCACAUCAUACGCCUGAAAUGCUUGUGAAAUAAGUAUUGAUUAUUCUAUUUAAUGUAACUUUGGAGCAUUGGAUCUCUAGAACUUUAGCUUCACAGCAAGUCAAAUCCCAUUUUAGCCUUUUCCAUUUUUGUUCCUGUCUUGAUCUUGAUGAAAUGAACUCUCAACCCUGUGCCAGUCUUACCAUUGAGGGAAGACCUUGUGGAUAAUAGUGUGGCACUUCUGAUGAUACAAAUGCGCCUUAAGCUACCUGGCUAGGCUAUGGGUUUUUAAGCUGGUUUAUUCUGGAAUUAUAAUUGGGAAUUUAUAAUUGUUUUGGUGGUAAUUAAAAGGUUGAAAUUAUAUAUUUUAUAACAAUAUUUUCCUCUUACAAAAUAUUCAUAUGAAUUUGUUGCUUUGCAAAAUUAUUAGUUGUCUUUUUGUUGUCUUUUUUCUUCCCCAAGAAAUUUGCUGAGUUAUUGAUUUACAUCAAUUUAACUCGGAGCUACUGUUUCAACAAAUACCCAUAUGAUUUAACUAUUGACUUUAUUCCAUGUGUAUCAGUAUUAUUAGUAGGUGCAG